ACGCUCGACACCUACGGGAGGAGCAGUAGGGAAUCUUCCACAAUGGACGCAAGUCUGAUGGAGCAACGCCGCGUGAGUGAAGAAGGUCUUCGGAUCGUAAAACUCUGUUGUUAGAGAAGAACACGAGUGAGAGUAACUGUUCAUUCGAUGACGGUAUCUAACCAGCAAGUCACGGCUAACUACGUGCCGCAGCCGCCGGUAACGUUACUCGUAGGACGGGGCCGGUCGGUCGAACGGACGC
rnacentral:rRNA from 1 species